AGAAGAAGGCAAUCGGGCAUUUGCGGGGAAGGAAAAAAAUUAGAGAAAGAUGGAAGCAGGUAAAGCAGCUGGUACCGAUUCCGGGGAAGAGAGUAGGAUGAUCAAAGUUAACGUGAAGUUCGGUGGACGGUCUAUACCGGUGGAAAUUCCGUUGGACUCCACCGUCAGAGACCUCAAGUCUAUCCUUCAACCCCUCACUAAUGUCCUCCCUCGUGGCCAAAAGUUCAUCUUCAAAGGGAAAGUUUUGGUGGAUGAAAUGACAAUGAGGUCAUCGGAAAUUAUCAAUGGUUCUAAAAUCAUGCUCAUGGCUACUCAAGGUCUACACCAAGGGGAUGGCCCCAUUAAGCAGGAAGCUCCGGCUAUAGAGAAGAAUUUGAGGAGGAGGACAAGUGAACUGCUGAAGGCAAACAAAGAAGUUUCUGUUCCAAAAAGCCAGCUCGAAAGAUGGAAAGCUACUGGGAUUAUUGCACUGUCUGAGUGCAAUCUGAAGGCCAUACCUGAGGAAGUCUGGAUGUGUGGACCUUCUGCUAGACUCCUUGAUCUUAGCCACAACUCGCUACUACAACUCCCAGAUAAAAUUGCCUGUUUGAGCUCCAUGCAGAAACUGCUCCUUAAUGCCAAUGAUUUAUCAGAUGAAUUAAUUAGCUGGGAAGGGUUAACCUCACUGAAGUCUCUUACCAUUCUGUCACUGAAUCAAAACUGUUUAGCAGUGCUGCCUUCUGCCAUCGGGGCUUUGACGUCUUUGAGGCAACUUCUUGUUGAAAAUAACAAGUUGACAUGUCUCCCAACUGAAAUAGGCCUUCUAACAAAUCUUCAAACCCUGAAAGCAGCGAACAAUAGCAUAAACGAAAUUCCUGCAAGCAUAGGCGAAUGCAUUUCUCUUGUUGAGGUUGAUCUCUCAUCAAAUCUCCUGGUAGAAUUACCAGAGACAUUUGGGAAUUUAAAAGAUUUGAAGGCUUUGUAUACAAGUAAUAAUGGACUGAGAUCCCUCCCCAGUACCCUAUUUAAAAUGUGUAGCCAACUUUCGAUUCUGGAUCUGCAUGGGACAGAAGUAACAAUGGAUGUUCUUCGCCAGUUUGAAGGAUGGGAUGAUUUUGAUAAUCGCCGCCGCUUGAAACAUCAGAAGCAGCUGGAUUUCCGAGUUACUGGGUCAGCUGAAUUUGAUGAAGGUGCUGACAAGAGCUACUGAGCUGCUAGUUGAGACACUUGCCGGUUGGAGACCUACACAACAGUAACGUAGGAAAGUCAUGGUCUGUCCAUUCAAAGUUCUGAGCUGCCAACGGAUUUUGUUGUCUGAUGGUUCCAAGGCUGAGAGUAUGCAUAUAUACAAUCACAAUUGAACGCAUGAUUAAUAUCUACAAAAUGGAACUACUGAGUACCAUGGAGAAAUAAUUGAAGCACAGUAAUGUUUCAAUGUCACUUAGCUCGCAGAAACACACAUAGGAAGGCGAGAUGAAACAAAGAAGCUCUUUUGAGAUGCAAAUAGGCAGACCACAGCCAUAAAGGACAUUCUCAAGGUCUCUGAAUGAAUAAAAUUUUCUCUUCGUUAUAACCAAGGCGAGGUCCAGAGAUGGUCUUUUUCUUUCUUUCUUUCAUUUUUUUAAAGUCUGGCCAUACCUUUCACAAAGCCAUGUAAAAUUAUACCAAUUAUUUUCGAAUAUUUAUUUUGGAAU